UACGGAAGGCAGCAGUGGGGAAUAUUGCACAAUGGGCGCAAGCCUGAUGCAGCCAUGCCGCGUGUAUGAAGAAGGCCUUCGGGUUGUAAAGUACUUUCAGUCGUGAGGAAGGUGUUAAGGUUAAUAACCUUAGCAAUUGACGUUAGCGACAGAAGAAGCACCGGCUAACUCCGUGCCAGCAGCCGCGGUAAUACGGAGGGUGCGAGCGUUAAUCGGAAUUACUGGGCGUAAAAGGGCACGCAGGCGGUUAAUUAAGUUGGAUGUGAAAUCCCCGGGCUUAACCUGGGAAUGGCAUUCAAGACUGGUUAGCUAGAGUCUUGUAGAGGGGGUAGAAUUCCAUGUGUAGCGGUGAAAUGCGUAGAGAUGUGGAGGAAUACCGGUGGCGAAGGCGGCCCCUGGGACAAAGACUGACGCUCAUGUGCGAAAGCGUGGGGAGCAAACAGGAUUAGAUACC
rnacentral:rRNA from 1 species